GUGACAGAUGCUGCGUCAUCUGCUGCGUUAUCUGCUUCACUCUUAUCGACAAAAUCUUCAGACAAAUCAGGGAUGAAAAAGAAUUCUACUACUGAAGUUGGACAAAACAAAUAUCCACAGUCAGACAAAGGAAUGUCAGAUGAAGAGAUGCCACCGAACAUUGAGGUCUGUGUUGAGUCGCACAAAAUAACAGGGGCAUCACAAACCACAAGAAGGAAGUGGACUGAAGCAGAAUUAAAGGCUGUGGAGAAGACUCUAAUGGAGUACAUCAGCUCUGGAAAGGUUCCUGGGAAGGCAGUGUGUCUCAAAUGUAUUGAGACUUCACCAUUAGCAUUGAAAGAGAGACGUUGGGAGGGAGUUAAGUUUUAUGUGAAAAACCGAAUUGAUGCUUUAAAGCGAGAGUCUAUGAAAAGAAGGUAAGAAGCUAAUGUCAAACAAA